UACGAAGGGUGCAAACGUUGCUCGGAAUUAUUGGGCGUAAAGCGCACGUAGGCGGCUUAGCAAGUUGGAUGUGAAAGCCCUCGGCUUAACCAAGGAAGUGCAUCCAAAACUGCUGAGCUUGAGUAGUUAAGAGGAUCGCGGAAUUCCCGGUGUAGAGGUGAAAUUCGUAGAUAUCGGGAGGAACACCAGUGGCGAAGGCGGCGAUCUGGGAACAUACUGACGCUGAGGAGCGAAAAGCGUGGGGAGCGAACAGG
rnacentral:rRNA from 1 species